UUGAACCCAGCCAACCGGAAGCGGCUGCGGCUUUCCUGCCCAUAUUUGACGCGCUUCGUAGGAGUAAUUCAGAGAGAGUUUGAGGCGAGCAGCAGCACUGCUAAUCACCGACUCGCCUUUGACAGCCAGUAACUGCCACACAUGCAUGGAGUAGUCCCCCCAACACCAGCACCACCAGUGGAGGAUUUGGCUUUGUUUCUAGCGCUGUUGAACAGGUGCUGUCUCAGCCACGAGCACAGCCGCUGCGGCGUGAAGCCCCUGAUUGGACAAAGAGUGAGAUAAAGACGGGCACAGAACAACUAUGAGCAGCUGUUGGCUCUGAGCCUCUGUGCGCGUGGAAAACAGUCGUGCUGAAGUGCAGGAAGCCGCCAAACCCCGAGUGAAGGUUAUGCUGCCCAAAAGCUGUCUGAGUCCCAGCGAGAAAGAGAAGGGCUAAAGCCGCACCGGUCCAAACCAGCUUCCCAGAGCCGGACUAACAGCAACUCUCCCCCUGCAGAGCCAUGAGCAACCCCAGCGCUCCCAACCAGGUUACAGACGCUGUUGCAUCAGUUGUU